UUAUAAUACUGAAGUUCUAACUAGAAACUGUGAAACCAGUUUUAGGACACUGUCAGUUGGGCAGUUUGACUGGGGCGGUCGCCUCCUAAAGAGUAACGGAGGCGCUCAAAGGUUCCCUCAGCACGGACGGAAAUCGUGCGAAGAGUGCAAAGGCAGAAGGGAGCUUGACUGCGAGACCAACAAGUCGAGCAGGAAGGAAACUUGGACUUAGUGAUCCGGUGGCACCGAGUGGAAGGGCCAUCGCUCAACGGAUAAAAGCUACCCCGGGGAUAACAGGCUUAUCUCCCCCAAGAGUCCACAUCGACGGGGAGGUUUGGCACCUCGAUGUCGGCUCGUCUCAUCCUGGAGCUGUAGCAGGUUCCAAGGGUUGGGCUGUUCGCCCAUUAAAGAGGCACGCGAGCUGGGUUCAGAACGUCGUGAGACAGUUCGGUCCCUAUCCGUCGUGGGCGUAGGAAAUUUGAAAGGAGCUGUCCCUAGUACGAGAGGACCGGGAUGGACAGACCACUGGUGUAUCAGUUGUCGUGCCAACGGCAUGGCUGAGUAGCCAAGUCUGGAAGGAAUAAGCGCUGAAGGCAUCUAAGCGCGAAGUCUCCCUUAAGAUAAGAUUUCCCAUUCGGUUAACGAAGUAAGACCCCAGGAAGACUACCUGGUAGAUAGGUCACAGGUGUAAGGGCAGCAAUGUCUUAAGCUUAGUGAUACUAAUAGGUCGAGGGCUUGACCAA
rfam:[Clostridium] purinilyticum strain DSM 1384 CLPT_62c, whole genome shotgun sequence.